GCAAUGCCGCGUGAGUGAAGAAGGCCUUCGGGUUGUAAAGCUCUUUUGUCAGGGAAGAAACGGUGGUCGCUAAUAUCGGCUGCUAAUGACGGUACCUGAAGAAUAAGCACCGGCUAACUACGUGCCAGCAGCCGCGGUAAUACGUAGGGUGCAAGCGUUAAUCGGAAUUACUGGGCGUAAAGCGUGCGCAGGCGGUUAUAUAAGUCAGAUGUGAAAUCCCCGGGCUCAACCUGGGAACUGCAUUUGAGACUGUAUAGCUAGAGUGUGUCAGAGGGGGGUAGAAUUCCACGUGUAGCAGUGAAAUGCGUAGAGAUGUGGAGGAAUACCGAUGGCGAAGGCAGCCCCCUGGGAUAACACUGACGCUCAUGCACGAAAGCGUGGGGAGCAAACAGGAUUAGAUACCCUGGUAGUCCACGCCCUAAACGAUGUCUACUAGUUGUCGGGUCUUAAUUGACUUGGUAACGCAGCUAA
rnacentral:rRNA from 1 species